CGGAGAGCUGGGAGUAGAGAAAUCUUUUAGUGGCGAACGGGUGAGUAACGCGUGAGGAACCUGCCUCAAAGAGGGGGACAACAGUUGGAAACGACUGCUAAUACCGCAUAAGCCCACGGUCUCGCAUGGGACUGAGGGAAAAGGAGCAAUCCGCUUUGAGAUGGCCUCGCGUCCGAUUAGCUGGUUGGUGAGGUAACGGCCCACCAAGGCGACGAUCGGUAGCCGGACUGAGAGGUUGAACGGCCACAUUGGGACUGAGACACGGCCCAGACUCCUACGGGAGGCAGCAGUGGGGAAUAUUGCACAAUGGGGGAAACCCUGAUGCAGCGACGCCGCGUGGAGGAAGAAGGUCUUCGGAUUGUAAACUCCUGUUGUUGGGGACGAUAAUGACGGUACCCAACAAGGAAGUGACGGCUAACUACGUGCCAGCAGCCGCGGUAAAACGUAGGUCACAAGCGUUGUCCGG
rnacentral:rRNA from 1 species